GCGCUUGUAGCUCAGCUGGAUAGAGCAUCUGCCUUCUAAGCAGAGGGGUCGGGGGUUCGAGUCCCUCCAAGCGCG
rnacentral:tRNA from 1 species